UUUUUUUUUUUUUUGCAUGCACUUCACUGAUCAUUUUUAUUUAUUUAUUUUUUUUGCCUAUGCAUAUUUUUUUUUCCCACUGUACAGCAAGGGGGUCAGGUUAUCCUUACAUGUAUACAUUGCAAUUACAGUUUUUCCCCCACCCUUUCUUCUGUUGCAACAUGAGUAUCUAGACAUAGUUCUCAAUGCUAUUCAGCGGGAUCUCCUUGUAAAUCUAUUCUAGGUUGUGUCUGAUAAGCCCAAGCUCCCGAUCCCUCCCACUCCCUCCCCCUCCCAUCAGGCAGCCACAAGUCUCUUCUCCAAGUCCAUGAUUUUCUUUUCUGAGGAGAUGUUCAUUUGUGCUGGAUAUUACUUUCCAGUUAUAAGUGAUAUCAUAUGGUAUUUGUCUUUGUCUUUCUGGCUCAUUUUACUCAGGAUGAGAUUCUCUAGUUCCAUCCAUGUGGCUGCAAAUGGCAUUAUGCCAUUCUUUUUUAUGGCUGAGUAGUAUUCCAUUGUGUAUAUAUACCACCUCUUCUGAAUCCAAUCAUCUGUCGAUGGACAUUUGGAUUGUUUCCAUGUCCUGGCUAUUGUGAAUAGUGCUGCAAUGAACAUGCGGGUGCAAGUGUCUCUUUUAAGUAGAGCUUUGUCCGGAUAGAUGCCCAAGAGUGGGAUUGUAGGGUCAUAUGGAAGUUCUAUGUAUAGAUUUCUAAGGAGUUAUGAGACACAGAUUUUAAAGUAACCAAUGUAGGGGAGUUCCCAUUGUGGCACAGUGGAAACAAAUUCGACUAGGAGCCCUGAGGUUGCAGGUUUGAUCCCUGGCCUCACUCAGUGGGUUAAGGAUCCAGCGUUGCCAUUAGCUGUGGUGUAGGUCACAGACGUAGCUUGGAUCUAGUGUUGCUGGGGCUCUGGCGUAGGCCGGCAGCAACAUCUCUGAUUAGACUCCUAGCGUGGGAAGCUCCAUAUGCCGCAGGUGUGGCCCUAAAAGGUCAAAAGCCAAAAAAAAAAAAAAAAAAUCAAUAAAAUAAAGUAAAAUAACCAAUGUUAACAUGUCCCUCAACAUAGAUAACAAGAUAAAAAGAGUUCACUGGAGAAUCAGACAUUACAUUAAAAAAUUAUGUAGAAAUUAUGGAACUAAAAAAUACAACUGGAAUGGGGAACUAAAUAGAUGUAUUAACCAUAGCUUAGACAACUUUGAAGAAAGGCUUCCAAACUGGAAGAUAGAUCAGUAGAAAACAUUCAGAUUGAUGCAAGGAGAAGAACAAGGACAGAAAACAUAGGAAGGCAUGUAAGAGCUACAUGGGUCAUGUUGGAAAAGUCUAACAUGUGUAACUGAGCAUUCAAAGGGAUCAGAGAAAGAUGAAAUGGGGUAGAAGAAGAAAAUGGCUAAUAUGGAUUGAUUUUCUCUAAUUUAUGAAAGAUAUCAAGCCCAAACUCAAGGAGAUGUAGCAUGUUAAGAAGGGUAAGUAAAAAUAAAACCUGAUUUGAGAAUCUCUUUGUAAAAUUCAGAAACCAACAAUAAAGGUAAAUAUAAAAUGCAUUCAAGGGAAAAAAACAGAUGCAUUUCCUCAAAGAAGUAGCAACAAAACUUAGGGGUGACUUACUAAGUGAAACAGUGGGUACAAGAACAUAAAGAACAGCAUUUUUUGUAUGUUGAAAGGCAGUAAUUGUCAACAAAUAAUGAUAUACUUGGUGAAAAUAUUUGUCAAAGUGAAAGGAAAAUGAAAAUAUUGUAAAACCCUUUUCCCAAACCACCUUACACACACACACACCCCCACACCCCCACACCCCCAUUCAUUUCUAGCAGAUUUGCCUUAAAGGAAAUCCUAAAGGAAUAACUAUACAAGUGGAACGAAAAUGAUUUAAGAUAGCAUAAGGAAUAAUAAGCAUUGGGAUUGAUGAAUAUAUGGGUCAAUUUAAAUAAAUAUCAAGUUUCACAAACAGCAAUUAUAAUGUCAGCUUCCAAGUUUUAUGUAGAAUUAAAAUUUAUAAUACCAAUAACAAAAAGUAGGAGUGGUUAAGUAGAAUUACAGCUUUAGCAUUUUCUAGUGUCUAUAUAUAUUAGAAUAUUAUGUCAGUUCCCAAAGAAGUAAAAUAAAAAUGAAUGAAGGGAAGAUCACAAAUUAACUAGUCCUAAAAAAGCAAUUAAGAGGGACAAAAUAUAACAUAGAACAUUUGGAACUAAUAGUAAACAGAGUAAAUAAAGACUCACCUAUAUAUCAUAUGUGUCAAUAUUUAUAAUAAACGAAGUGAAAGAUGAUAAUAAAUCAUGCUGUCAUCACUUUUAUGCAGUAUUGUACUGGAAUUCAUAAUUACUACCAUGAGUAAUGAAAAAUCAUAUAAAUAAGAGAAAGAAAAAUCUGUCAUUCUUUACCAAUGGCACUCUGUGUAUAUAGAAAACCCAACUGAUCUACAGACUGUUGGAAUUAAAGUAAUUUUACAAGAUUGCUGACUACAAAUUUAGCCUACAAAAAUCAUUAUAUACCAAUAAUAAAAAGUAGAACAUGGAAUCUAAAGUACCAACAAUUUAUAAUAUCAUAAAAGUCAUUAUAUUGGAAUAUAAUGUGUACAAGACAUUUAUGCAAGAAAAAUAAUAUAUUAUUGAGAGAAAUUAAAGAAUACCUAAAUAAUGGAAAGAUAUCUCUCUCUAAUGGAUUAGAAGAUUCAGUAAUAGAAAGAUGUCAGUUUCCUCUAAAUUGACAUGUAGGUUCAAGUAAUUCCAAUCAAAGUACCAACAGGUACACUGCGAAAAUUGAUAAACAGAUACUAAAACAUGUGAAUGCUAAUACCAGCCAAACCAUCUGUAUAGAAGAAAAUAUUUAAGGGACCAGAAAUCAAGACUUAUUAUAGUGCUACAGUUCAUAAGACAAUAUUGUAUUGGCUUAAGGAUAGAAAAAUAGAUUAAUGGAACAGAACAAGAGGCCCAAAACAGAGCCAUGUAUGUACAGUCAAGUAGUUUAUGUCAAAAGUGACCCUGCAGUGCAGUGGGUAAGGAAUCUUUUCAACAAAUCAGGUUGAGUCAAAUAGUAUCCACAUAGUAAAAAAAAAAAAACAAAAAUCUUGACCCUUGCUUCAUAGCAUAUACAAAAAUUAAUUCCAAAUGGAAUGUAUAUCUCAAUAUGAAAGAUAAAAAUGUAAGCAUUCUGGAGAGUAAGAAAUCUUGAAGUAAUCAGAAUAUUUUCCUAUGGAUAAAAACAGGAUAGACAAAUGAAUAAAAUUGUGAUUCUUUUAAGAAGGAUGAAGGCCCAGGUGAGUCAGUGUUGUACAGGUAAUAAAAGGAUCUAUUGCUGCAUCGGUCUUACACUGCUACACUGAUGCAGCAUAAUAAUCACAAGUUCACAGUAGCAUACAAAAAUUCAUAUUUGUUAAAGUCUAAGAAAAUGGAGCCAGGUAAUCUCAACUAGAUAUCUUGAAUCUCAAAUCAGCUGUGGUUUAGCUAGUUGAUUUUUCUGGGCUCACUGACUUGUAGGUGGUUGACUGAUUGCUGGCUCAAGUAGGAUGGCCUCCGCAGUGGGUUCUGGGACAACUCAAUUCUGCUUACUGUGCAUUUUAUCCUCCAUGGCAAAACUGCACCUAUUCUCAUGAUAAUAACAGAUAUGGAAGAAUGAUAGCUAACCUAAUUGUGCUAGUGCUUUACAAGUCUCUGCUUGCGUUGUAUUUGCUAAUGAUCCAGUGACGAAAUCAAGCUACAGAGUUUAAAGCCAAAAUCAGAGGUGGUGGGCCUAGAAAGAACUGAAGAUUUGGGAUCCUUUUGCAAUGAAUAUACAGCUACAUAACAUCAUGUUAACCUAAAACAAUAAAACAACCAGUUAUUUUUAGCUGCAAAAUGAGUUUAUAUAAAAGCAGCAAGAAAAUCUUGUUUUAGGGUAUGCAGCUAUGGCAAACCACAUGCAAAUUCAGAAAAGCAACGCAGAGGAAGCUCUUUUAUAGAGGAUAAAGGGAAAUUGAAAGGGUUGUUAUAAACAAAAAACCCUUUGAAGAAAAUUGGGGGUUCAAAGUAUAGUAGCUUUUCAUUGGCUGAGUUGUGACAGUCUUUCAUUGGCAGAAUCUAGUGUCAGGCGAGGAGAAAAUCUUUCUUCUUUCUAUUGACAGGAGUAAAGUAGUGUCACUUCCUGCAGGAGAUGCAGGAUAUGUAUCUGCUUAUGAAGAUCUGUGAGGACAUGAGUUUUUCAUGCAUGAGAGCUUCUUCUGGCUUCUAGAUUCCAGUCUAGUGAGAUUUCCCUUUAUUUUCACCAGUCAUUUACCUAAUCAAUACUUGAGCUGAGGUUCAAUCCACUCUUUUACUUUAAGUCUAAUAUUCACUGUAAUGCACUUCUUCAAAGACUCUUAUGUAAUAUUUAUAGAAUCAGAAAGGUUGGAGUUCCCAUCAAGUCUCAGGGAAAACAAAUCUGACUAGUCCAUGAGGACACAAGUUCGAUCCCUGGCCUCACUCAGGGUGUUAAGGAUCUGGCUUUGGCAGUGAUCUGUGGUGUAUGUCGCAGAUGCGGCUUGGAUCUGGCAUGGCUGUGGCUGUGGUGUAGGCCAGUGGCUACAGCUCCAAUUCGGCCCCUAACUUGGGAAACUCCAUAUGCCUUGGGUGUGGCCCUAAAAAAACCAAAAUAAAAACCCUAAAAAAAACCCCUAUAAAUGUUAUGCUAGGUACUUAGUCUAUUCAAGAGGCAUUUGAUGGUAAUAGCAAUAAAUUAUCUGAUCGAUCAAUGCUGUUUCUCUACUUUGUGGCCAUUUAAACAGUAAGUGUAUUUAAUCUUCUAUUACUCAGAUAACUGAGAAAUCUGGAGAGAUUUCUAAAAAGAAAUGGGUCACUUUACAAGCUCAGAGGCUAUUUGGGAAGGCAUCCAUUAAUUGGAUUUUUUUACUAUAUAAUUCAAGGGCCACCUACAGAGGAAUGGGAUAGGCACAUAGUCUCCUCUGGGUCUGCUUGCACAAAUGCUGCUCAAGAGUCGGGCCAUUUAUGGAGUUCCCUGGUGGGAUAGUGGCAUAAGUGUCUGGCCUUGUCACUACUGUGACUCAAGUUACUGCUGUGGCUCUGGUUUGAUCCCUGGCCUGGGAACUUCUGCAUGCCACAGCCACAGCUAAAGAAAACAAAAGAGUCAGGCCUUUGAUUUGGCCAAAUGGCUUGAAAUAAUUUUUAAAAAUUUACCUACUUUUUUUCCUGUCCCGAAUUAGUUAAUGGAACUUGAAGAAUCACACCCUGGAGAGCUGGAAACUUUCUUAACUCGUUUAUGUUUCAGAAUCUCAACCCUAAAUUGUUAAGGGAGUUGGAAGGUCCCUAAAAGCAACAGAAGACUUUAGAAGUCUUAGUUCCAGGGAUUACCCUUUGGAAGAUUUUUAAAGAGGAUCAUAGGGGGUGAUUUUGGCAUAAAAAUUUCUAUAUCACGGUUUCUUUGAAGAAAUUAUUAUUUUUUUUGAAGUAACAGGAACUAUGUAUGUCAAGAUUUUGUGAGUGAGGCAAGAUUCAGGCUGGUAUCUUGCAAACCAAGAACAUCCAUGUCCUUUUUCAUUGCAAUCUUCUGAGAGAAAAUACCUCUGCACAACCCACAUUAAAACACUUUUCACAACAUAUUAUCAAAACUUAAAAAAUUCAGAGUCUUUUACUCUUUUGAGCACUGUACCAGACAUAAAAGAAAGACCAUGUUGAGGCUCUCCUUUGACUCUCAGUAUUGAAUCACACGUUGACCAAAAGGGAAGAUGCUCCUCACAUGUGCUGAGGUAAGUGGGAGUAGACAAUAUGCAUCUCUGUCUGUAAUCUUAGAUCUACACAAUCCAUUAAUGGGUCUCAGCCAGGCCCGGAAACCAGAAUACAGAUAUCUACCUUAAAAGGAAGUACCAGCUGGUAGGGAAAAUAUUGAGUUGAAGCAAUGAGUCCUGAAUAUGGCAUAAAAGUUUGGCUAUAUCUUCCAGACAUUUACUGCAGAGAAAUCCUAACCAAACAUUUCCCAGCUUUCAACUGAGAAAUGUUGGAUCGGAAGUUCUCCAAGUCUAUUCUGGUGCAGACAUUUAGAAACAAGGAGGAGUUUGUUGGAAAAUAUGUAAUUAUCUUUGCACUGGGAUCAGAAAUCACUUUAGAGAAAAAAUACCUGCAUAAAAUGACAUGGGGUAGGUGACACUCUGACAGAGAUGUUAGAAACAAGAAGGAGGAGUUCCCGUCCUGGCUCAGUGGUUAACAAACCCGACUAGUAUCCAUGAGGAUGCAGGUUGGAUGUGGGUUCAACCCCUGGCCUCGUUCAGUGGGUUAAGGAUCUGGCAUUGCCAUGAGCUUUGGUGUAGGUUGCAGAUGUGGCUCAUAUCUGACCUUGCUGUGGCUGUGGUGCAGGCUGGUGGCUACAGCUCUGAUUCAACCCCUAGCCUGGGAGCUUCCAUAUGCCAUGGGUGUGGCCCUAAAAUAACAAAAAGACAAAAAAAAAAAAAAAAAAGAAAAAA
rnacentral:lncRNA from 1 species